AUUGAACGCUGGCGGCAGGCCUAACACAUGCAAGUCGAACGAGUGGCGGACGGGUGAGUAAUGUCUGGGAAACUGCCCGAUGGAGGGGGAUAUCUACUGGAAACGGUAGCUAAUACCGCAUACCAUCGGAUGUGCCCAGAUGGGAUUAGCUAGGAGGUGGGGUAACGGCUCACCUAGGCGACGAUCCCUAGCUGGUCUGAGAGGAGGACCAGCAACAGUGGAACGGAGCCACGGUCCAGAUUCUUACGGGAGGCAGCGGUGGGGAAUAUUGCACAAUGGGCGCAAGCCUGAUGCAGCCAUGCCGCGUGUAUGAAGAAGGCCUUCGGGUUUUAAAGUACUUUCAGCGGGGAGGCGUUACUCGCAGAAGAAGCACCGGCUAACUCCGUGCCAGCAGCCGCGGUAAUUC
rnacentral:rRNA from 1 species